CCUACGGGAGGCAGCAGUGGGGAAUAUUGGACAAUGGGAGAAACCCUGAUCCAGCGACGCCGCGUGAGUGAAGAAGUAUUUCGGUACGUAAAGCUCUAUCAGCAGGAAAGAAAAUGACGGUACCUGACUAAGAAGCCCCGGCUAACUACGUGCCAGCAGCCGCGGUAAUACGUAGGGGGCAAGCGUUGUCCGGAUUUACUGGGUGGAAAGGGAGCGUAGACGGCAGCGCAAGUCUGGAGUGAAAUGCCGGGGCCCAACCCCGGAACUGCUCUGGAAACUGUGAAGCUGGAGUGCAGGAGAGGUAAGCGGAAUUCCUGGUGUAGCGGUGAAAUGCGUAGAUAUCAGGAGGAACACCGGCGGCGAAGGCGGCUUACUGGACUGUAACUGACGUUGAGGCUCGAAGGCGUGGGGAGCAAACAGGAUUAGAUACCCGUGUAGUC
rnacentral:rRNA from 1 species